ensembl:lincRNA
AGUUCAAAGUGGGCGUUUGGGGUGGGUGGGGUUUUGCCAGAGAUCAUGGCACUGUGUCUUUUGUUUCUUUUUUUUUUUUUGGUACCGGGGAUUGAACUCCGGUCUUUGCGCUUGCAAGGCAGGCCACCGAACCGCUGAGCUAAAUCCCCGGCCCCAGGCACUGUGUCUUUUACUGAAUAAAUUUUUAAAAAAGAAAUAUUCAUUGCAUUUUUAUCACACCUCAUAGGUAUUAAGCUUUUUCCUUUAAUUAAUCAUGUUAAAUCAUGGUAAAAUGUGUACCCUGAGUUACCACUUUCACCCGCUUUUCAGCGUGUGUUUGAUGGCCUUAAGUGUAUGCACAUCUCUCUGAAGCCACGGCCACUGUUGUUCUCCAGAAUUCUUUGCACCCAAAGCUGCGUCCCUACUAAGCUCUACGUCCCCACCCUCCCUUCCCUGGUCCAGGCAGCCUCAUUCUACUUCUGUGUUUUGUUUUCUGGUGUUUUGGUCUUUGUUUCUGUCGCGGUGCUGGCGAUGGAGCCCAGGGUCCACAUGCAAGCCAGACAGGCGCUGCGGCCACUGGCCUGGAGUCACACCACAGCCCUGCACCCUCGACUUCCUGCUACUGCUUUGGCUCUCGCGACUCUCAGGACUUCUGGGACCAGAAUCACACAGUGUGCCCAGGUCUUCAAGAUUCAGCCGUCAAAAUUUCUGACUACUGGAUCAAAUAAAGAGCCGUCUGGACUGUGUAUCACUAAGCAAGAGAUUCAGCCCAGGAGGGGAGUGGCUUGGGAUUAAAGCCACAGAAGCCAGAGGGAAGUGACACGGAUGACAGCGUCCUGCUUCUGGAUGGUAACAUGCAAUGCAUGAAGAAUUCUGGGGCCCAAAUGGGCAGAUUCGGAGCAGUGCUCUGGUGGCACACACCUUCUAAGGACUAAGGACUCCCUUAGGACUCCCUUUCUAAAUGCAUUUAGGCUCAGAUGUUUCCUGUACUUCCAACGCCCAUCGCUCGGCUACCUUCCCAAGGAAUCUCAAAAACACCACCACCCAGGGUCGCGGAUGUAGCUCAGUGGCUUGCGAGUGCAAGGACCCGAGUUUGGACCCAUGUUAGAUCCCAGUUACCAAACAAACCACCACCACCCAACAUCCCAUUCUCUAGUCCAGGGAUUCUCCAACUCGUUUUGUUUGUUUGUUUUGUUUUAUACACUUGCUUACUGAGGCCACCAAAGAGCUUUGUUUUUUGUGUGUUCAAUAGGUACUGUAUUUGAAAUUAAAGCAAAACUGUAAAGAACAGCCACUAAGUGCAUUUAGAAAUAAUAAAUCGAUCACAGGUUAACAUAAACCGUAUUACAUAAAACAUAAAACAAAGAAUGGAUGAAUUUUCCAAAAAAUUAGUGGUGAGAAUUUUUAUAGUUUUGCAAAUUUCCUUUAAUACCCAACUUUGAAGACCACUGGAUUCUCCUGCUUCUGCACCCAGUCUUGUGAGAUUACAUUUUGUACUCUCUGCUAGGGGAGAGACUGGUUUAUUGGGGACGAUCUCUUUGAGAGAUUGAUAGCUCUUUCUGAAAAUACUUCUGAUCCUGUCAAUCUCCUGAAUGAAGUCCCUGGUACCCAUUUUGAGAACUGUGAUACGGGUCAUUUCAGUGGCCACAGUGUCUCCCAAGGCCCGGAUGACAUCCCUUACUUCCGGCUCUGUUCCCACUGUGUCUUGCCCUGCUGUUGACGUUUACUAACAUGAUAGACUGAAGCGAUCCUCUUGCUUCAGGCUCCUGAAUAGCUGGGGCCACAGCUACAUGCCACGAUACCUGGCCUAACCUUUUUUAAAUUUAACCCCUCUUUUAGUUAGAAAAGAAACACAGCUGUAUUACGGCUAUCUAGUAGUAAACAAUAUAUACACAUGCAGUUUUCUAGUUAUCAUUACAUCAUGAUUUACAAAUGAACAGUAAUUCUGAACCCUAUCCCCACUCCUGGCAAGGGGUAGGCGUUUCUUUUUCUAACAUCAAACAGCAGCAUCAUGUUCCACUGUGUAGAUAUAACACAAUUACUUACUAAAUAACCAACAUUAGCACAUUUGAAUGCUUCCAAUUUCUUAUAAUAACAGUACUCCGGUGAAGAAUACCUUCAUACAUCUAGCUUUUUUGGAGACUUAGGGCUAUUUCCUUAGAUUCCCAGAAGUAAGAUUACUGGGUCAAAAGGUGCAGACAUUUUUAUGGCUUUUAAUACAUACUGUAAAAUUGCUUUUCAAAAGGGCUAAUUUACAAUGCCACCAACACUUUCAAGAAUGUUUCAGCACACGAAUCAUCAACACAGGUGCCAUUAAGAAUGCUAAUCGAUAAAAUAUUGUACCCUAGUUGCUAAAAUUUUGCAUUUUUUUGAGGCUCAUAAAGUUAGUUUGUUGAAGAAUGAGCGUACAAUACAAAACAUUCUUUUGGGACAUCUUUAUUUCUGGAAAACCUAGGAAGUUCUCCCUGGCGAAGACCAGAAAAAAGAACACAUGUUAGGAUUGGCACAAAAUCCACUUUGACAGUCAAUCUUAAUGCCAAAACACUCAACGACGAUUUUUUUCACUGUUUCUCUGCUUUCGCUAAUAGUAGCAAAAGGAAAACAACAAAAACAAAACAAAGCAACAAAAAACCCCCCAACUCCACAAAAAACCCACAUUGUAGAGGAAUGAAACAUUCUCACUUCAAACCAUACAAGAUCAGACACUGUCGGAGCUCUGCUUUUCAUUCAACUUUUCUUAAAAAACAAAACAAAACAAAAAAAAAAACUUUGAGAUUUCAGUCUUCUCCUUUUUUUCUGAUGUUAACUGUCCAUGUACAAAACUCCUGAAUUUCUGGGUGUGGGCCACCUCCUUCGUGAGCGAAGCACCCGCACCCCGCAGGACUGGGGACCCCAUGCCCGGGGAGGGUGCACGGC